AGCUUGCUCUCGGGUGACGAGUGGCGGACGGGUGAGUAAUGUCUGGGAAACUGCCUGAUGGAGGGGGAUAACUACUGGAAACGGUAGCUAAUACCGCAUAACGUCGCAAGACCAAAGAGGGGGACCUUCGGGCCUCUUGCCAUCAGAUGUGCCCAGAUGGGAUUAGCUAGUAGGUGGGGUAACGGCUCACCUAGGCGACGAUCCCUAGCUGGUCUGAGAGGAUGACCAGCCACACUGGAACUGAGACACGGUCCAGACUCCUACGGGAGGCAGCAGUGGGGAAUAUUGCACAAUGGGCGCAAGCCUGAUGCAGCCAUGCCGCGUGUAUGAAGAAGGCCUUCGGGUUGUAAAGUACUUUCAGCGGGGAGGAAGGCGGUGAGGUUAAUAACCUCAUCGAUUGACGUUACCCGCAGAAGAAGCACCGGCUAACUCCGUGCCAGCAGCCGCGGUAAUACGGAGGGUGCAAGCGUUAAUCGGAAUUACUGGGCGUAAAGCGCACGCAGGCGGUCUGUCAAGUCGGAUGUGAAAUCCCCGGGCUCAACCUGGGAACUGCAUUCGAAACUGGCAGGCUA
rnacentral:rRNA from 1 species